GAUAUCCCAACUGCCUACCACCUGCUCCACCUGUCCCCUCAGCUAUCAAAGGAGCACUUUCACCUGUCAUGUCCAAAGUUGAGCCCCUGAAGUUCCACUCCCCAGCCUUAUUCCUCCAGCUAAUUUCAUUACAUCAGAAAUGCCAACUCUAUUUUUUAUUUCUUAAAAUGAAACUAUUCUACAAAUUCUCUUGACUUCUCUUAUUGACCUCCUUGAUUCUGUUCUAUACCCUAUACUUCUAAAGUGAUCAUAAAUCAGAUCAUGGGACUUCCAGGUCAAAGUCUCCAGUGGCUCUGACCACCCUUAGAAUCAAAUCCAAACUCCCAUCUUGGUCCUUGGUGAUCUGGCCCUGCUUGUCUUUUCACCCAAGUUCAUUCCUUCUCUUGCUCAUUCACUAUGCCCCGUCACUGUAGCCAUCAGACAUGUUUGCAACUCAGGGCCUUUGUGCUCGCCAUUCCCUCUGUCUGCAAAACUCUUGGUCCACAGCUCCAUGGCUCACUGUGUCCCUCCACUAAGAUCUUUGUUCAAAUGUCUCCACCUCAGUGAGAGCCUCCUUCAUGCUAUAUUUAAAAUCGGACACGCACACCUUCCCUAUCUUCAUCCACUACUUGUCCCCUUCAGCCCAUCUUUCUUUUGUUUAUAGUACUCACCAUCAUUGACAUUAUAUUUUCUUAUUUGUUUGUCAGCAUCUGUCCUCCAUCCACACCCUGAUGGAAAGUACACAGAUUGGAGCUCUGUCUUACCAGUGUAUCCACCAUGUCUAGCACUGUGCCUGGGACAUCCUAAGACUUCAUAAAUAUUUGGUGAACAACUGAAUGAAUGAUUACAUGAAUGAACGGAUAAGUUAGCAAGAGAAAUAAUGCAUAGGAUAUGUGCAUAGAAGGGGUUGAAACUGAGGAAGGAUGUUUGACUCUACAAUACUACCUUUUUCAUGAAGCUUCCUGAUCUCCAGCUCUCUGCCCACUCCAUGAAAGGCCUUUUUGAUGACUCUGAUCACACCUUGUCGAGCUGUAUAGACUCUGAUCUCCUUGAGCACAGAGACCACAGCAGUGUAUGUCUUUUACUCCUGGGCCCCCAGUGCCAAUGCCCUCACCUGCCAUAGAAGGAUGCUCCCUUGAGGUUGACCCAUUGAAAUAAAUCCAUACGAGCCACACUAACGCCAGCUGAAAUGUCUUUAGCCUAAUGUUAGUUGGGUCAUUGUCACCAACCUGAACCAGAUUUAAAAAUUAUUGACAAAAGGGCUAAAUGAAAUGCAGCCUUUUCCAGAGCAAUUUUCCUGAUUCAAAGCAGAUUGAUGGCAAAGCAGAAGUGACAAUAUACUGACAGCUCCUAGUGACAGGGGCUAUAUAGAUCUAAGUCUUUGUAACUCAGCACUAAAGAUUAUGGAAUAUGCUUUGUAAAUAAACAUUUUAAGGAUGAA
rnacentral:lncRNA from 1 species